rnacentral:rRNA from 1 species
AUGCAAGUUGAGCGAAGCUUUUUGGUAGUUUACUACUAGAAAUGACUGAGCGGCGAACGGGUGAGUAACGCGUGAGCAAUCUACCUUAGUUACUGGGAUAGCCCGAGGAAACUCGGAUUAAUACCGGAUAUUCUUAUUUUUUCACAUGAAGUUUUAAGGAAAGGUCAGCCGAACUAAGAUGAGCUCGCGUUCUAUCAGCUAGUUGGUGGGGUAAAAGCCUACCAAGGCUACGACGGAUAGCUGGUCUGAGAGGACGAUCAGCCACACUGGGACUGAGACACGGCCCAGACUCCUACGGGAGGCUGCAGCAGGGAAUAUUGUGCAAUGAGCGAAAGCUUGACACAGCGACACCGCGUGUGGGAUGACGGUUCUAGGAUUGUAAACCACUUUCAGGAGGGAAGAAAAUGACGGUACCUCCACAAGAAGACCCGGCCAACUAUGUGCCAGCAGCCGCGGUAAUACAUAGGGGUCAAGCGUUGUCCGGAUUUAUUGGGCGUAAAGAGCUCGUAGGCGGUUCAACAAGUCGGUCGUAAAAGUUUAGGGCUCAACCCUAAAAUGUCGAUCGAUACUGUUGUGACUAGGAUACGGUAGAGGUGAAUGGAAUUCCGAGUGUAGCGGUGAAAUGCGUAGAUAUUCGGAGGAACACCAAUUGCGAAGGCAGUUCACUGGACCGUGAUCGACGCUGAGGAGCGAAAGCUAGGGGAGCAAACAGGAUUAGAUACCCUGGUAGUCCUAGCUGUAAACGAUGGAUACUAGAUGUAGAACUGGAUUGACGGUUUCUGUAUCGUAGCUAACGCGUUAAGUAUCCCGCCUGGGGAGUACGGUCGCAAGACUAAAACUCAAGGAAUUGACGGGACCCCGCACAAGCGGCGGAGCAUGCGGCUU